UGGCUUGUCCUCUUCUGGGUGGGGGCUCUGAAUGGACCCCAGGACCAUGGACCCCAGGGACCCCCCUGCCACACUGGACAAGGUGUCAGUGACCACUCCAGGUAGAACAGCAAUGGUAUCUCCACAUAGGAAACACCAAGCCUUUGUGACCACAUGAGCCGCAGCGUCUUCAUCAUGGAUGAGGAGGGGAACCAGUUCUGGAAUUCUGGCUCAGGGAAGGCAUAAAUGUUGGCUGACUGUCAAAUGCUUGUGGGAGGUCCCCACGGAGUGGAGAAGCGGGAGACUCAGCUUAAUCACAGACAAAGUUGUGCAUGAGAGACGGAGUCUCACUCUGUUGCCCAGGCUGGAGUUCAAUGGUGCAAUGAUCUCGGCUCACUGCAACCUCCGCCUCUUGGGUGCAAGUAACUCUCCUGCCUCAGCCUCCCGAGUAGCUGGGAUUACAGAGUCUGGAGUGAACCGAAGACUAAGCAUAAAUGCUGCAGGUCAGGGGCUGUUUCUUAUGCCUGAACAUCGCGGGGCCUUGGACACCGUCUUUCCAAAUCAAGACAGCAUAGAGCACAAGUGCUCAGAGGGAAUGAGCGAGGAUGCAGCUGGCUGCUGCCUCUCAGAGUCACAGUUGGUGCACGGACCCCAGCACUAACAAACGGCCACCAGGACGCUCCUCUGUGUGCAUGGGCUCAUGUCCCUGACCACGAAAGGCUCAGAAGACGCACCUUUGGCCUGGUGCUGGCUGUAGCCUUCGGGGCAUCUGGAACCUGAAGUCCUUCCUUGAAUGCUGCAAAAAUAAUCUUUGCAGCCAAAGUCAGGCCCGCCUCGGCCUCCCAAAGUGCUGGGAUUACAGGCGUGAGCCACUGCGCCUGGCCGCAGGCAUGUCUUUUUUAAAAAGACAAAGCAUGUAAUUUUUAUAUUAGUCUCAGUUUGGUCAGAGAAAAUGACUGGUCUGUUGCUAUCAGCCUCAGUUACUACGCUUUAUUUUUUAUUUUUCUUACUAGUGCAUUACAGUUAAAUAGAAUUUUAUUGAAGAAGUUAUUGGGCUGAAGGCAGAUCACUGUAAAGCAGCCCCCAUCACUGGCAUCUGGUCUCAGUGUGAUAAAUGCUCAAGAGGAGAAGAACCUUCACAGGGCCAGGAAGUGAUGAUGUAGGUUCCCUACCUGCCGGAAGGCGCCACAUCUCUGCCCGCAAAAGCAGAUAUGGAAGUUGCCCCUCUGUUCUCCAGUCUCUCUCUUAGAAGCAGUUAUCCCCUCUCAAGCUCCUUAUUUCUAACCCCCCCAGCCAGUCCCAGGGGAGGGCAAAUGCUAAAAUUCCAAGGCCAUUUCCCUGGGAGAAGAAAGGAGAGGUGAGCAGGAACAGAGAGGCAAUUAUUUGAUUGUGGAGACCCGCAAAACCUAUGAACUAUUUGGGGUCCCCAUCCCUAGUGUCACCUACCCUAGGGAGAUGGGUGUGGAAAGGAAGACUCUUUACUCGCUCAUUACCAAAUCAUGCAGUUAGUCAAGUUCUCCGCAAAAUCAUAUCAACUUUGUUAAGAGAUAGGAAUUAAAUAAAUGUCUAAGUAUUUCUCUGUGACCGUCUUUUAGCAAGCAACCUUAAAACUGGGUGAAUUUUGGGGAUCCAGCAACCAAUUCUGAAAAAUUUGAUGAAAAUCUGAUUUAAACAACUUUUUUUUUUUCUAAGUGUCUAGACCUUUCUGUAUCAGAAAUGAAAGUUUAUCACAGUGUCUUUUUCGAGCCCCAGUCAUUUCAAGGACACGAUGAGAAAAAGCUAAUGCAUCUCUCCUGCUCUUCUCACUACUCAAGCUCAGGAAAAACUGCACCCUGCAUCCAAAGAGUGGGUGGGCUUAAGGAUGUAAAGGGUCCAACCUUGACGGGUGGGACAGCGACUGGCUGGUGAAGUCACUUAGCUCUUGCUCUAGUCUCCACCAGGGUGACCCCAGCCAGUCGUCUGGCCAUUCAGGCACUUGUUUGUCCAGCUCUUGCUAAUUGGGUUGGCAUUUGGCUUGUCACCAGGUAUUUGGGAUGCUCGCAGGGAAAGUGUGGAGAAAUACAAACCAUCACCUUAAUAAUUGGUAUGAUAUUUCAGGAUCUCUGAAUUUCUUCCUUUGUGUGAUAUUUCUGGAGAGAAAAAUCCACUAAUAAACCUUUUUAAAAUUAAUAUUAAUGGGCCUCUUAACUGUAGCUAAGAUAUGAGAGUAUCUUUCUCUCAAGAUGGUCACUGUAGGAGGCUGAUUAAAAACACUUUGACUUCGUCAGACAGAAGGGAGUAUUGUAUCUUGCAUGUCAUCAAUUAAUUAAACUUUUCAGCAUCAUCCAAGAAUAGCCUUAACAAUGCGUUUAUUAUUAAAGAGGACACUCAUGUGGAAUGAGAUGCAUGCGAGGCUACAGUGCAUUGCCAAACCAUCUAUUUUUGGGGUUAAGACUAUAUUAAAAUUCCAGUUUUAUGACUUUAA
rnacentral:lncRNA from 1 species